AAUCCAAUUUAUGAGCCUGUACAGAAGCAAGGGUCUUCCAGAACAUAAGCUUCACCGAGCAAGUAAAUGGCAUAGACACAAUCAGAAACUGCACAAAUCAGCUUUGCUGUAGUAAAAAAUGGCCCUUGUAGAAAAGUUUUCCUCUACCCUCUUAUGCUCUGUGACUAGAGCCUAUGAAUUAAACUGACAAAAGCCAGAUUAAUAAGAGGAAAAAAAAACCAGUUUAUUUACACAUGGGAGAACAGAGUGGUGAGUAACACAAAGGGAUGGUUAGGAUUUGGAGCUUUAUACCAACUUCACAGGUGAAAGAAGGGGAGAAAUGCCCUUAUGGGAAAACAAAUGUCCUGUUGGAAAGAUAAAUGGGUUUCAGGAGAACAAACAGGAGACAGGAAAAUCUGUGAUCAUGCUGUCUAUGCUGGUUUGAGGGGUCAUUCUGCCUCCUUCAGAGCCAUAAAACUCCUCUGCAGAAGGGACAUGGGGGUGGGUGUUUAUUUAUAUUCUCCUUUCUUAGAACAGAUCUGUCCCAAAAAGGAAUUUAUUUCCCAAAAGUUGCUACUGUUGGUCUGCUUCUUACAAUAAUCUUUAUACCACGUCUGGAUUUCAAGUGAGUCCCCGCACACCCAGACCUCAGGGGCUUAUAACAAAGAUGUAUUUCUCAACCAUGUUGCACACUAGCUGUACAAUGGGCACAAGCCCUCUUCCACAUGUCUUCCUCACUCCAGGAUCCAGUCCAAAAGAGCCUCUACCGGGAGCAGGCCAUUUUCGGUGGCAGAAGGAAAACAGAGUGGAUGAGCCUUGCGAUGUCUCGGAGCGCUUCCCUUUGGGUGUGUUUGUUUGCCACUUCCUUGCUCAGUCCAUUGGGCAAAGCAAGCCAUGUGGCCAAGGUGCGUCUCAGAGAGGCAGGCGAAGAACACUGCUCCUACAGAGAGGCCACUGCAAGUCACAGGGCACGAAGUCAGCGGCUCUUCCUGGAAAGGUGAGUGAAGAACUGGGACAACGCUAUUAAAACGGUUCGCCAGAGCCUGCCCAGGUGGAAUCUUUCCACUCCAUUCUGCUUGGAAAUGUUUCAAAGAAGAAGUAAGACUUGGAUUUUCCAGGAUGAUUCUAGGCAGAGGUGAAGCAGAUGCUAAGGCAGGAGCACUUGGGAAAUGAUGAGAAAUCCCAAGAGGCUGGAGCCCAGGUCACGUGGAGUGGAGAGAGGACAAGUGGUGACCACAGAGCUGGAGUUACAUGUCUGGAAUGUGUUUGCACGGUGCCUCCACUCCACCCCUUGUCUCCCGAACCAAUCCCUGCUCAUCACUUAAAGCCAAGUCACCGCUCUGUGAAGGUGUCUCUGAUCUCAGUGGUUAAAACCCUAAUCCUCAGAAACAACCACCGGACUUUGCAUACACAAUUCUUGGGAGAAAAGAGAAUGCAGGGCCACAGAAACAGGAGGGCCAUCAGAGGAAGGUAACAAUGCAGAGAUGGCAGUGGAGGAGAGAGUGAAGAGAGGAAGAGAAAGAAUUUAAAGAAUGAGCUGAAGGUCAGGGUGGAACCUUGGGAAAUUCUCCAGCCAAAAUGGCAAAGAAAAACAGUGGAGACCCCAAGAGCAGACACCUGCAGGGCGGUGCUCCCUGUUCACACGAGGAGCUGAGCAGUUUAUUUCUCAAACAUCUGUUUGCACUGAGUACUCUUGGCACUGUCACUGAUCUGCCCUGCAGCGGGGUCGCAUUCCAAGAAUCUGAAGUGGGGUGAUUAUGGACCGAGAGGAGCUCCCUUGCCUCCCAUUUCAUACUUUCUGCCACACCAACCAACUCAGGGAGGAAAGUUCAGAAAGGGUUGUAUCCUGCUCUGGCAUCUGUUUUGAAUUCCUGGGUAAAUAAACCUGCAGACUAAG